rnacentral:rRNA from 1 species
AGGUGGGAAGGCGUUGAAAAUUUUCUUGCGGGAAGAUUGGAGCCGUUGGUGAGAUACCACUCUAACAAUGCUAGGAUUCUAACCCUACACCGUUAUCCGGUUAGGGGACAGUUUCAGGUGGUCAGUUUGACUGGGGCGGUCGCCUCCCAAAAGGUAACGGAGGCGUGCAAAGGUUUCCUCAGGCUGGUCGGAAAUCAGUCGUAGAGUGUAGAGGCAUAAGGAAGCUUGAUUGUGAGACCUACAAGUCGAACAAAGACGAAAGUCGGCCUUAGUGAUCCGACGGUUCCGAGUGGAAGGGCCGUCGCUCAACGGAUAAAAGUUACUCUAGGGAUAACA